rnacentral:tRNA from 1 species
UCCUUCGUGGUGUAGUGGUCAGUACGCUGGGCGCGUAUUCCAGAGGUCCGUGGUUCGAGUCUCGGCGAAGGCG